rnacentral:tRNA from 1 species
GCUAUAGCCAAGCGGUAAGGCACAAGACUUUGACUCUUGCAUUCGAUGGUUCAAAUCCAUCUAGC